CAAGUUUUGCACUUCAGUGAACGUAAAUAUUGAACAAAUAAUUAUGUAAAAUUCAUUUUACUUGAAUGGGCAAAUGGCAAUCUAAAAUUCGUACAAUUUUUAAAAAAAUAAGAAAAAAUGAACCACCACAAAACAUGACAACUAAUAGGGUUUAAAAAAAUAUAAACAAAGGCCAAAAAGUCUUCCGCCUGUUGAAGGGAAGAAGAAUCAAAACUCAUGCCCGCCAACUUACGCAGCUGGAGAGCGUAGAACAGAAUCCUGUGAGGUAUCAACGGUUGCGGGAGGCAUAAGCCGCCACAUGGGAACUCCGGGAUAGCCAACAAAAGGUACCAGCUUGCCACCAACAACCUGGCUGGGGGAAGGAAAUGGGACUGGGAUAGCCGGAGGAUGAGGCAGGAAUCCUGCUCCAGCACUCAAGGUUUUUACUUGCUGCUCAAGG
rnacentral:misc_RNA from 1 species